GACGAACGCUGGCGGCGUGCUUAACACAUGCAAGUCGAACGGAGUGGCGAACGGGUGAGUAUUACGUGAGUAACCUGCCCUCAACUGUGGGAUAAGCCUGGGAAACUGGGUCUAAUACUGCAUAGUUGGGGAUGGGCUCGCGGCCUAUCAGCGUGUUGGUGGGGUGAUGGCCUACCAAGGCGGUGACGGGUAGCCGGCCUGAGAGGGUGGUCGGCAAUAGGAGGCGUGGGAGACGCCCCAGAGUGCUACGGGAGGCGGAUGUGGGGGAUAUUGCACAAGGGGGGCACGCCUGAUGCAGCGACGCCGCGUGGGGGAUGAAGGCGUUCGGGUUGUAAACCUCUUUCGGUACAGAACGGGUAUGUGCAGAAGAAGCGCCGGCUAACUACGUGCUAGCAGCCGCGGUAAUAC
rnacentral:rRNA from 1 species